rnacentral:rRNA from 1 species
UCCUCCUAAAGAGUAACGGAGGAGCACGAAGGUUGGCUAAUCCUGGUCGGACAUCAGGAGGUUAGUGCAAUGGCAUAAGCCAGCUUGACUGCGAGCGUGACGGCGCGAGCAGGUGCGAAAGCAGGUCAUAGUGAUCCGGUGGUUCUGAAUGGAAGGGCCAUCGCUCAACGGAUAAAAGGUACUCCGGGGAUAACAGGCUGAUACCGCCCAAGAGUUCAUAUCGACGGCGGUGUUUGGCACCUCGAUGUCGGCUCAUCACAUCCUGGGGCUGAAGUAGGUCCCAAGGGUAUGGCUGUUCGCCAUUUAAAGUGGUACGCGAGCUGGGUUUAGAACGUCGUGAGACAGUUCGGUCCCUAUCUGCCGUGGGCGCUGGAGAACUGAGGGGGGCUGCUCCUAGUACGAGAGGACCGGAGUGGACGCAUCACUGGUGUUCGGGUUGUCAUGCCAAUGGCACUGCCCGGUAGCUAAAUGCGGAAGAGAUAAGUGCUGAAAGCAUCUAAGCACGAAACUUGCCCCGAGAUGAGUUCUCCCUGACCCUUUAAGGGUCCUGAAGGAACGUUGAAGACGACGACGUUGAUAGGCCGGGUGUGUAAGCGCAGCGAUGCGUUGAGCUAACCGGUACUAAUGAACCGUGAGGCUUAACCUUACAACGCCGAAGG